UAGCGAGUUGUCUCUACUGAUUGAUAUCUAUACUGUGGUCUAACUAUAUGUUUACUUAGUUGUGUUUGCCUUCAUUUUCCAGUUUUAUCCCUCAGUAAUUGGGCUUUCAGCCUGUUGAGGGAUUAUAAUAAUAAAGCGCAAUUUUUAUUUAGAAAAAUGUUUGUUGUAAAAGUGAUAAGAACCGUCAUAGAUCCACAAGUGCUAAGAUGAAGGAGAAAUAGGCUUCGAGUAAUUGCCAGUCACUACAGAUCAACGACUGACCCUACUAACAGCUGCUGCUUAUAUGUUAUAAAAAUUUACAACAUGGGCUGGAGAAGCUGAUGGAUUAGUUUCGCUUCAGUUUAAGUGUGAGUGUCCUACAUUUCAUCUUUCUUAAAUUGUUCAGCUUAUCGGAAAUGAACAGUGAUUUUAGUGUCGCCCCUCUAUUUGUUACGUUUACACGACCAUAAUAACGCUACGUCCAAGUUACCAUCAACUGGAGAAGUUUACAAUUUAUGUUACAUUCUGACACUGUGCAUUUUAACAUUACACAGGAAGCAUAUUCUGCAAUAACAUAGUUUAGUGCAAUACAGCACUUUCAUCAAAGCAAAACCAAUUAUUUAAUCAUUAUUACCAUUCCCAUUUUUGGUAUUGUCCGUGAAACUGUAAAAUUGUGAAACUUGAAACUGUGUAGUCAUGUUCUCAUGACAAGAACCACCCUCCUUGUUUAAUGAAGAGGCAUACCUAUGUGUUUAAUUACAUUUAUUCAUGAACUGAUUGAUUUAUAAUCGAAAUGUAUGAGAGUAGAAGUCAUAUGGCCUCCGACAAUGAUAAAUUUGUUUUCUUUUUUUAAUAAACGACUUUUAUUUUA